rnacentral:rRNA from 1 species
GACGAACGCUGGCGGCGUGCUUAACACAUGCAAGUCGAACGAAGAGCGACGGAAGCUUGCUUCUAUCAAUCUUAGUGGCGAACGGGUGAGUAACGCGUAAUCAACCUGCCCUUCAGAGGGGGACAACAGUUGGAAACGACUGCUAAUACCGCAUACGAUCUAAUCUCGGCAUCGAGGAUGGAUGAAAGGUGGCCUCUACAUGUAAGCUAUCACUGAAGGAGGGGAUUGCGUCUGAUUAGCUAGUUGGAGGGGUAACGGCCCACCAAGGCGAUGAUCAGCAGCCGGUCUGAGAGGAUGAACGGCCACAUUGGGACUGAGACACGGCCCAGACUCCUACGGGAGGCAGCAGUGGGGAAUCUUCCGCAAUGGACGAAAGUCUGACGGAGCAACGCCGCGUGAGUGAUGACGGCCUUCGGGUUGUAAAGCUCUGUUAAUCGGGACGAAAGGCCUUCUUGCGAAUAGUGAGAAGGAUUGACGGUACCGGAAUAGAAAGCCACGGCUAACUACGUG